UGAGUUUAUGAACAAGACUUGAAAUUCGUAGAAAUCACAGGUCAGUUUCGUAUUUCAUGUUUUUCAACAGUUUCCGGGCGUUUUUCGCAAAAAUACUAUUUCACAGAAGUUGUUUAUUCGAAAUUCUACUCAAGUUAGGCUCAAGAAACGCUUGAUUCGGAGUUCGAAUGAGGAAGUUAUGCCCAUUUUAAUUUUCUGCUGAAAUUAAUAAAUCUAGUUUCGAGUGUUUUAAGUUUGAAUGUUUUUCCUAAUGGAUUUUAAGUAUCUAAAUAUAUAUUAUGAAGUUUAGGUGUUGUUUUAUAUAAACUAAGAGAGAUUUUAGUAUUGUUAGUAUGAGUUAGUUAUGUCAUUUGAAGUGAGGCUCAUAAUUUAUAAAACUAGAGUUAAGCAAAGCUCAUUAACUAGUUAAGCCAAGUCUAUUAUUACUUAAUGAGUACAUAUAUGUUUAUAUUGUAGAUUCCGGUUUCAUUGAGGAGCCGUAUUGACUGCUUGACAUAGUUGAUUUGCUGUAUUUUAAAAGGUACAUGAAGAUUUGCAAGUGGGGUGUGGGCUGAGAGCAACGUUCCACUAGCUUAGUUGAAAUAUAGUAGUUUUUAUUUCCGCGCUGCACUAUAAAUAUAUAUCAUAAUUUUGGAACUUAAGGUUGUAAAUAUUAAUUUACUUAAACCUUUACACGUUUGGAUUGUAAUAGUUUAAUUUAGUUGUUGCUUUAACAUUAAUUCAGUUAGGUAGUUAUCCUUAACGGUUGUUCCUGUAAUAACCGUGGAAUAACACUUUUGGAUUUCGGGUACUUAUGCAUGGAUGUAUUGAUUUUUGACCGGGAUAAGGAUUUUGGAGAUCUUGGUUUGCUGGAUUA